CGAUGAUUACUGGGUGUGGGCAGGAAGACUGUCUGUGCCGAAGCGAAUGCGAUAAGUAAUCCGCCUGGGGGAGUACGGCCGCAAGGCUGAAACUCAAAGGAAUUGACGGGGACCCGCACAAGCGUGGAGCAUGUGGUUUAAUUCGACGCAACGCGAGGAACCUUACCAGAUCUUGACAUCCUACGAAUGCCCAUGAGGAUGGGCAGUGCCUUCGGGAACGUAGAGACAGGUGGUGCAUGGCUGUCGUCAG
rnacentral:rRNA from 1 species